rnacentral:rRNA from 1 species
AACGAACGCUGGCGGCGUGGAUAAGACAUGCAAGUCGAACGGAACAUCAUGAGUAGCAAUACAAGUGUUGUUUAGUGGCGAACGGGUGCGUAACACGUGGAUACAUUCCGGAAAGCGGGGGAUAGCCCAGGGAAACUUGGAUUAAUACCGCAUGUGGCCGCAAGGCCAAAGACGGGGACCGCAAGGCCUGUCGCUUUCCGAUUGGUCCGCGGCCUAUCAGCUAGUUGGCGGGGUAAAAGCCCACCAAGGCUACGACGGGUAGCUGGUCUUAGAGGACGACCAGCCACACUGGAACUGAGACACGGUCCAGACACCUACGGGUGGCAGCAGUCGAGAAUCUUUCACAAUGGGGGCAACCCUGAUGGAGCGACGCCGCGUGGAGGAUAAGGUCUUCGGAUUGUAAACUCCUGUCAUGCGAGAACAAGGUUGCAGGGCUAACACCGCUGCAAAUUGAUGGUACCGCAAGAGGAAGAGACGGCUAACUCUGUG